GCUAGUGUAGCUCAGUACUAGAGCACUUGUCCUGCGUACAUGAGAUUGUGGGUUCAAUUCUCAGCACUGGGA
rnacentral:tRNA from 1 species